rnacentral:tRNA from 1 species
GCUCAGAUGGCGGAAUUGGUAUACGCGCAUGGCUCAGGACCAUGUGGCAGCAAUGCCGUGGGGGUUCGAGUCCCCCUCUGAGCA